rnacentral:rRNA from 1 species
UAGGGAAUCUUCCGCAAUGGGCGAAAGCUUGACGGAGCAACGCCGCGAGAGUGAUGAAGGUCUUCGGAUCGUAAAACUCUGUUCUUAGGGAAGAACAAAUGUGUAAGUAACUAUGCACGUCUUGACGGUACCUAAUCAGAAAGCCACGGCUAACUACGUGCCAGCAGCCGCGGUAAUACGUAGGUGGCAAGCGUUAUCCGGAAUUAUUGGGCGUAAAGCGCGCGUAGGCGGUUUUUUAAGUCUGAUGUGAAAGCCCACGGCUCAACCGUCGAGGGUCAUUGGAAACUGGGAAACUUGAGUGCAGAAGAGGAAAGUGGGAUUCCAUGUGUGGCGGUGAAAUGCGCAGAGAUAUGGAGGAACACCAGUGGCGAAGGCGACUUUCUGGUCUGUAACUGACGCUGAUGUGCGAAAGCGUGGGGAUCAAACAGG